GACGAACGCUGGCGGCGUGCUUAACACAUGCAAGUCGAACGAAGAGCGAUGGAAGCUUGCUUCUAUCAAUCUUAGUGGCGCACGUGUGUGUAACGCGUAAUCAACCUGCCCUUCAGAGGGGGACAACAGUUGGAAACGACUUCUAAUACCGCAUACGAUCUAAUCUCGGCAUCGAGGAUAGAUGGACGGUGGCCUCUACAUGUAAGCUAUCACUGAAGGUGGGGAUUGCGUCUGAUUAGCUAGUGGGGGGGGUAACCGCCCACCAAGGCGAUGAUCAGUAGCCGGUCUGAGAGGAUGAACGGCCACAUUGGGAAUGAGACACGGCGCAGACACCUACAGGAGGCAGCAGUGGGGAAUAUUCCGCAAUGGACGAAAGACUGACGGAGAAACGCGGCGUGAGUGAUGACGGGCUUCGGGUUGUAAAGCUCUGUUAAACGGGACGAAAGGCCUUCUUGCGAAUAGUGAGAAGGAUUGACGGUAACGGAAUAGAAAGCCACGGCUAAAUACGUG
rnacentral:rRNA from 1 species